AAUACAUACUUAUUUUAUUCCAGGCUAUAGAAUAAGUGUAUUUAGGCAGUUUUUCAAAGUGUAUUGUACACUGCAUGCACAAUAAAUCAGUUUAAUAGCUUGACUGUUUUACAUUUUGUGUUCAAAGAACUGUAUGACAGGCAAUGAGAUCAUGUUAUGGCACAAGUUGUUGUCCAUUUGGACUAUAUCCAUUUUUUUCAUAAAAUUUUGGGAAACCCAAACUGAUAGAUGAAAUGUCUAUUAAUCAUUUUAAUAUGAGCAUUUGCUCCAAGAAAUAAACUUCAUACAAGUUAUGUUCAAUUUAUAAACCCCUCCAAAUAGAGGAUUUAAGACAAGAAAUUUUGAACGUGAUUUCAUUGCAGCAUUACACUGAAGACUGGUGUAAUAUUUGUCAAAAUGAUGUAACAGUUUCCAAACACAGGUUUUGGAAUCUUUUGCUAGAAAUCCAGGUAAUAUUUUAGGGCCCACACAGUUAGCUUUAAAAAUGUCCUUAAAAGGAUGACUUGUCUGUUUUGACAAGAACUUCUACCUAUGUGAAAUAUCUUAUAAAGAUAGCUUAUGACUAGCAGGUCACCAUCAAAUAGUAACAUUAAGAAUAUGUAAGUCUACAUUCGUAAAGGCUUUUGCAUGCAGUUUUGUCUCUUACACAUUGUUUAGAUGUGUGAACCAAAUGUUUGUGCCUCAAACACCAACAAACUUGAAAUUACACUAUGUAAGUAUAUACAUAUAUGAUGCUGUAUAUGUUUAGUAUCACAGUAAAUAUAACUGGUAUUAAAAUGAUACUAAGCAUAUGUAGGACCAUAGUUAAAUUCCAGUUAAGAAAAAAAGCCAGAAAAAAUCAUUCUUCUAACAGUAUUUCACAGUAGAAGGAGGCAGUCCUUUCUCACUGACUUUCCCCCCCUCAGGAUUUGUAAACAUCAUAGCUAUUACUCUAUCGGUAUAAUUGAGUAUUUUAUUCAUAAUGGUAAGUAGCUAACCAACAUGAAUAAAGUUGUCAUAACACAAUAACAUUUUCAGACAAAACAGUUAUUUAUUAAAAGAAACGUUUAUAAAUACUUUGUCUUGCAUUUUAAACUACAUUUUCAUAAAUAACAAUAUUUAAAAGUGCUGAAUAUGGUAGGAUAGUCAGCAACGCCACUGUAAACAGAUUUGUUUUCCACUUCGCAGAUUUUUUUUUUAGAUCCCAUUCUGUCAAACACUACAACAGUUAAAAUAGUUGCAUAGGGAAUAGAGAAUAGCCCUUUUAAUCAUCUCCUGAAUUCUAUAUAAAUUACAAAACCAAAUGAGUUUAAGAAACAGUUUGUUAAAUUGUUCUUAUAUAUCCAAAAAAAGCACGCAGGUUUCAAGUAAAAAGAAUGAUUAAAAAAUUCCCCAGACUUGCUAUUUGAAGCAUGUUCAAUAAAUUAAGAGGGAAAAAAAAGAGAGAGAGAGGUAGUAAAAUAAAGGAAAAAAUAAGCCCCAGGAAAUAAACUAAUACCUGUUUCCUACCAGCUACUGUGUAGAGCCAGAGCAGCCUUGGCAGCAGCGAUUUCAGCAAGAGCUGGCACCAAGGAGGAGCUUGCUGGUUGGAGCCAAGUUUGCUGGGGCCAGAUUCCACUUAGUUACACAACUGUAAAACCUUUUGGACCCAUCAAAAGCAAUGGGAGUAUGCUGUAUUUAGUCCUAGGAAAGUGAGAAGAACCUUGCCUCUAAAGUCUUAGUACAAGACCAGAGCUGACAGUGCUAAAUAUAUAUAUAUAUACAAACAUACAUACAUAUAUAUAUUUAACUGGCAUUCAAAACAAUCUCAUGGUUUAUCUUUAGCAGUUUGUGAGGGAUGUGAACACUCAUUUGUCUCAUAUAUCGUAGGUAUGAAGAUGUUGGUUGUUUUAAGUUCCAAAUCACUCUCUCUUUAAACAUCAAAAUGCAUCCUAAAAUUGGACAUUUUUGGAUAAAAAGGCCAAGCAAACGCCUACUAAAACCACCAUGGCAGAAAAAUGAUUGGAGUACUGUGCUGCAUUAGCUCUCAUUUAGGGCUCAAUACAGGACUCUCUACCCAGGAAAGACACCCAUUGAGUUUCAGUAGGCAUUUUGCUUGGGUAAGAACUGCCGAUUUAGGAGCCCUUGAAAUUUGGUUUAAUAUUACACUCCAAACUCCUUGUUUUCAAGGAGUUACUCAAAAUCAAUGAGGCCAGAAGCUAAGUCUUCUUUAACCCACCACCUUGUAAAACAUUACUUUGCUUAAAAACACUUUUUUGACUGGAUUUAGCCUUCAAAAAAAAAUCUUACAGGACAGAUGCAAUUCAUCAAAAUGUUCUAAAAUACUCUAAAAUGCUACAUGUAGGCAAUCUUUUAUUAAAUUUCUUU
ensembl:lncRNA